rnacentral:rRNA from 1 species
UACGAAGGGGGCUAGCGUUGUUCGGAAUUACUGGGCGUAAAGCGCACGUAGGCGGAAAUUUAAGUCAGGGGUGAAAUCCCGGGGCUCAACCUCGGAACUGCCUUUGAUACUGCAAAUCUCGAGUCCGAUAGAGGUGGGUGGAAUUCCUAGUGUAGAGGUGAAAUUCGUAGAUAUUAGGAAGAACACCGGUGGCGAAGGCGGCCCACUGGAUCGGUACUGACGCUGAGGUGCGAAAGCGUGGGGAGCAAACAGG